rnacentral:rRNA from 1 species
AUUGAACGCUGGCGGCGUGCCUAACACAUGCAAGUCGAGCGGUAACAGGUGUAGCAAUACAUGCUGACGAGCGGCGAACGGGUGAGUAAUGCUUUGGAAUCUUCCCAGUAGUGGGGAAUAACCAGUCGAAAGAUUGGCUAAUACCGCAUACGUCUGUAAAGGGAAAGCGGGGGACUCGCCUCUUCUUCGGAAGAGAGGCCUCGCGCUAUUGGAUGAGCCAAAGCGGAUUAGCUAGUUGGUGGGGUAAUGGCCUACCAAGGCGACAAUCCGUAGCUGGUCUGAGAGGACGACCGGCCACACCGGAACUGAGACACGGUCCGGACUCCUACGGGAGGCAGCAGUGGGAAUAUUGGACAAUGGGGAAACCCUGAUCCAGCGACGCCGCGUGUGUGAAGAAGGCCUGCGGGUUGUAAAGCACUUUUAGUGGGGACAAAAAGCUACGGAUUAAUACUCUGUGGUCUUGAUUUAACCUACAAG